rnacentral:ncRNA from 1 species
UUAGUUUGAUUCUAAUUAAAAGAUUAGUAGAACUUAAAAAUUUUAUGCUUAAUAUUUGUAAAACAUUAUAUAAAAUAUUAAAUAUUUAAAUAUAGAAAUAUUAUAAUAGCAGGAAUUAAGAUUGUAAUAAUGCGUUAAAGCGUGAAAUGGUUUAAAUACUAUUAUUGGUCAAAUUCGUGCCAGCAACAGCGGUUACACGAUGGAUAUCUAACAAAUAAAAUCUGUAAAGGUAAAAUAUAUAUAAAUUAAAGGUAAAAUCUCCUUGAUCUAUAAAGUAUUAAUAUUACCAAAAAUAAACUAUAAACUAAAACAAGGAUUAGAUACCCUUUUAUUAUUAGCUUAAAAUAAGAUUGGAGACUACGAGCAAUAGCUUAAAAACCCAAGAAAUUUGGCGGUGUUUUAUUCAAUCAGGGGGACCUGUAUUUUAAAUUGAUAGUCCACGUUAAACUCUACCUAACUUUAAUAUUAUAGUUUGUGUACUGCCGUUUAAUAAGCCCUCGAGGUUUCUUAUAAUUUAUAUCAAAAUUAUAAGUCAGGUCAAAGUGCAGCAUAUAGUUAGGUAUAAUAUGGGUCACAUUUUUAAAGAUACUUUAAAUUUAUAAAUUAAUUUUAUAAUAAUUUAGGACUUGAUAGUAAUUAUAUAAUUGUUUAUACUAUAAUGAAUAUGAACUUAAAACAAGUACACAUCGCCCGUCACUCCUUUAUACAGGAUAAGUCGUAACAUAGUAGAUGUAAUGGAAAUUGCAUCU